rnacentral:tRNA from 3 species
GGAGAGGUGACAGAGCGGUAAUGUGCCUGUUUGCUAAACAGUAGCCAACCGAAAGGUUGCGUGGGUUCGAUCCCCAUACUCUCCGCCA